rnacentral:rRNA from 1 species
AACCCGACUACAUGAAGCUGGAAUCGCUAGUAAUCGCGAAUCAGAAUGUCGCGGUGAAUACGUUCCCGGGUCUUGUACACACCGCCCGUCACACCAUGGGAGUCGGAUAUGCCCGAAGCCGGUGACCUAACCGCAAGGGAAGGAGCCGUCGAAGGUGGAGCCGAUGACUGGGGUGAAGUCGUAACAAGGUAUC